GUUGUACUGAGGAAGCAGGGAAGUAACCCAGCUAAGCCUUGGAAUUAGAGGAUAGGUCUAUAUGCAGUGGUUUGGGAACAGCUACCAUCUGAUCACAGAGAAGCCAGGUAGAGUGAUGGGCAGGCUGAGGUCUACUACGUGGCUGAGUUAGGCCUGCAAUUCAGUGACAAACUGCUGGAGUUCUCGGGGGGUUUGAGACUGUCCUCACCAAGGAAACACUGUCAUCGUGAGUCAGCUUGACAUCAUCUCUACGCAGCCUUAAAGUUAGCAACACAACACAUUAGCAUGCCAGUCAGCUAAGGAUGCUUGGUGCUUCAGGAUAUAGGAGCUGAUGUAGGUAUGUUAGCUUUUCUGAAUAGUACCCCAUUGGAAAUGCAAAGGCUGGCUUUCCUAAAUCCAACUUUUGAAAGCUCUUCCCCCCAAUGACCUGCAAUGGCACAAAAGAGCAUCUCACUUCAUAUGCUGCACAGUCAUAUUGUCAUGAGAAGAAACGUCACCUCAGGCAACUCCGUGCCAGACACAUCCCAGGUCAGCAAUUAUCAUCUAAUUGUGCAAGUCGAAGACCAGGGAAUCUGUCUCUAGGAUAUUGUGCCUUAGCAACAGUGAAAAUUGCAAUGGUGGAAAACAGCCAGGUAGCUCCAGGUGCCAUUUUCCUUCCAGAACUACUGAAUGCAAGUUAGCUUCAAAUCAUUUCCAAGGUUGAGCGGCAAAGCAGACGGGUCCAUUACUCUGUGAAGGGGAGCUCCCCCAAGGGCCUUUCUUCAGCUGAUCCAACCAGAAACAUUUAUGCAGAAGUGAAGAUAAAAAAGUCAGGCAGAGCAGCAUGAGAUUCAUUUUUUUGCCAGGAACAGUGAUGGACCACUCUACAGUGACUCACUUACACGCCUGAUAACAGCGACAGAUGAGAAUUACAACUUGCCAGCAUUCACCCAGGAGUUUUAUCAGGUCUGCAACCUACUAUGGUAACUUCUGGAAGAUCCACAAGUGCCUCUCUGUCUCAUAAUAAGAUAUCCUGGACACCUAAGUUUCAGAUAAGAGGUGGCAUUCCUCCCCCACAGCACAGCUAUCUGCUAUGAUGACGCUGUUGUAACCCUUUAGUCAUUCCCUAGAGGAAAAAAAAAUAAAUCCAAAAACUGAAGUGUUACUGCAAUUCAAUCGUUGGCAGAUAAAAGAUUUAAAACAUGCAUCCAGCUUUCAGCAUCAUAAUAGACACAGUGCAAAUUAACUAAUUCAAAAGCUAGGAUAUUUUAAAAUAUCAAACAAAUAGUGGCCAAAAACAUUAUUCUGCCCCCACAGUACACAGAGUCCUCUUCCAGUGCUCCCUAGCCUCCCUAGCACCUGUCCCAUUAUGUUUUUGCUCCAAAGUACAGAGGUAUCAGAGUACUUCAAAGACAUUGCAGUUACCUUUUGCUUAAACAAACCGAUCAUUGUCUACAUUUGUACCUGAAAAUGACCUGAAAUGUACCUGAAAAUGUACCUGAAAAAAUUAAAACAAAAACAAGAAA